GAUGAACGCUGGCGGCGUGCUUAACACAUGCAAGUCGAACGAGGCACUCUAUUCGAUUUCCUUCGGGACUGAUUAUUUUGUGACUGAGUGGCGGACGGUUGGGUAACGCGUUGGUAACCUGCCUUAUACAGGGGGAUAACAUUUGGAAACGGCUGCUAAUGCCUCAUAAUCGCACAGCCUCGCAUCAUCCAGUGUGAAAAACUCCUGUGGUAUAAGAUGAACCCGCGUUGGAUUAGCUAGUUGGUGAUGUAACGGCCCACCAAGGCGACGAUCCAUAGCCGAUCUGAGAGGGUGACCAGCCACACUGGGACUGAGACACGGCCCAAACUCCUACGGGAGGCAGCAGUGGGGAAUAUUGGACAAUGGGCGAAAGCCUGAUGCAGCAAUGCCGCGUGAGAGAAGAAGUACUUAGGUAUGUAAAGCUCUAUAAGCAGGGAAGAUAAUGACGGUACCUGACGAAGAAGCACCGGCUAACUACGUG
rnacentral:rRNA from 1 species